GCUCAUGCUGAGGUGAUGACCACGCUCUUCUGAUUUUCCAGCCUCUUGUUCUGAAGCCUUCUAGCCAUGAAGAAAAUGGCCAGCAGAAGUCAGAGAGAGCCAACCAAGAUUCCUACACCAAGGCUCAGCAUUUCACCUGUAGGAUACAAGGAUCCCAUCUGGAUGAAAAAAGCAAAGAAUCCUUUUUAUAUGGAGCAUCUUGCAAAAUUAGUGUUCUGAGAGUCAUAACAUGGGAAACAAUGCUUAAUUGUUUUGAAUGUGGUCCAAGGACGCUUGCAUCAGAAUCACUGUGGAUGCUGAUUAUUGAUACAAAAAAUCAUCGCCACGUCUUGUUAUGUCAGAAGCUCUUCUACCAGAAGCUGAAAGAGAAUAGCCUUUCAAGGAACAUGGAGAAGUUAACGUGAGGAUGUCAGAACAAGAACACAGAGGGUCCCUUGGUCCCUAAUACUUUGGGGGCCACCAUAUUAUCCCUGGACUGCUUAGCAUGGACCGUUAUAUAAUAGAGAAAUAAAUUUAUUUCCUGUA
rnacentral:lncRNA from 1 species